rnacentral:lncRNA from 1 species
AAUGAAAAAGCAUUUAACAAACUGGAUAAUGCUCACAGUCUAGAAAGAUACUUGUAGAUGUAACUACAUGUAACUGUCAAUGUCAUUUAACAGGAAAGAAUUUUUAAAGUGACUUUAAAAUAUUUAAACUGCCUCUCAGCAAGGCACUAGGUCAUUAUUACUAUCCUCUCACUCUUCUGUUCCCUUAAAGUACUCAGAGCACCAUCCCAAUCAAGCCUGGAGGCAGAUUCCUGGGUUCUCAGCCUCGUGCACAUGUCUGAGCCUCCAUGGCACUUCCAGAUAAGAUCCACUGCUUACCUGGCGUCUGUGCUCUGGUGUGGCACAUGUGUGCACACGUGUGUGCCAGUGAGGCACACACA